AUUGAACGCUGGCGGCAUGCCUUACACAUGGUAAGUCGAACGGCAGCACGGGAGCAAUCCUGGUGGCGAGUGGCGAACGGGUGAGUAAUAUAUCGGAACGUGCCCAGUCGUGGGGGGAUAACGUAGCGAAAGCUACGCUAAUACCGCAUACGAUCUACGGAUGAAAGCGGGGGAUCGCAAGACCUCGCGCGAUUGGAGCGGCCGAUAUCAGAUUAGGUAGUUGGUGAGGUAAAGGCUCACCAAGCCGACGAUCUGUAGCUGGUCUGAGAGGACGACCAGCCACACUGGGACUGAGACACGGCCCAGACUCCUACGGGAGGCAGCAGUGGGGAAUUUUGGACAAUGGGCGCAAGCCUGAUCCAGCAAUGCCGCGUGCAGGAUGAAGGCCUUCGGGUUGUAAACUGCUUUUGUACGGAACGAAACGGUGAGCUCUAAUACAGUUUGCUAAUGACGGUACCGUAAGAAUAAGCACCGGCUAACUACGUG
rnacentral:rRNA from 1 species